CCGUACUUGGCUCCGCCAUUGUUUGACAGGUCUCGUUGCUAACCAGAGGCUUUCAUGGUUACCAACUCAACAACACCAAAAGAAAGAAACUUCCAAGCCUUCCAUGGCUUUAUAGAAAGCUUUUCGACAACACAGAAAGCAUGGAAGAGGACAACCGCCUUAGACAGACUACAAGAUGAAUCCAAACUGCUCCAGCAUUCUAAUGGCCAGGGUAAAGUGACCUGGUGCUUGAGAGAAGCUGUUCAAUGGCUGCAGCAUGCAGGACUCAACGCUUUGCCUUUUGAUCCAGCAGCCAACAACGACCCUCUUCAGUUCAACGGUUCCAGCGGACAGCUGGUGACCGACUGUCCUCCCUUGGAAAACACUGCAGAAAACAGCAAGAAGAGGAAGAGAGCCAGCCUUCCUCCAGAAGGCAUCUGCAACAUGACAAUGGACUCCAACUCGAUUACAAUGCCGAUGUCAGACCCCAACGCCUGGGCGACAGCUAUGAAUAACCUGGGGAUGCCUCCCAUGGGAAUAACUGGACAGCCACUCAUGCCAGAUUUUGACCCUAGCCUUGGUAUGAUGGCUGGAAUUACCCCCAUGAACCCAAUGAUGCCCGGCCUCGGUAUGGUACCUGCAGCUCUCUCCCAAGACGUACCGGUUGUCAAGGAGAUCAUCCACUGCAAAAGCUGCACCUUGUUCCCCCCCAACCCCAACCUGCCCCCUCCGGCAACCAGAGACCGCCCUCCGGGAUGUAAGACUGUGUUUGUCGGUGGUCUGCCAGAAAAUGCCACAGAGCAGCUCAUCAUGGAGGUCUUUGGACAGUGUGGCGAUAUCACAGCCAUACGCAAAAGCAAGAAGAACUUUUGCCAUAUCAGAUUUGCGGAGGAGCCAACUGUGGACAAGGCGCUCUUCCUGUCAGGUUAUCGUAUCCGUUUGGGUUCAAGCACAGACAAAAAAGACACUGGACGCCUCCACGUCGACUUCGCACAGGCCAGAGACGACCUCUAUGAGUGGGAAUGUCGCCAGCGCAUGUUAGCCAGAGAGGAGCGUCACAGACGCAAGAUGGAAGAAGAUCGCCUCCGGCCACCAUCCCCUCCUCCCAUCGUCCACUACUCUGAGCACGAGUGCGGUCAGCUGGGAGACAAGAUCAAAGAUGACGGCAAAUUUCAUGAAGCGGUUCGUGUGCUCCUGACCUGGCUUGAACGAGGCGAAGUUAACCGCAGAAACGCCAACAACUUCUACUCCAUGAUCCAGUCCUCCAACAGCCACAUCCGCCGGCUGAUGAGCGAGAAGAGUCAGCAUGAAAAAGAGAUGGAAGAAGCCAAAGACAAGUUCAAGACUGCUCUGGCUGGUAUACUGGCUCAAUUUGAACAGAUUGUGUCUGUAUUCCAAGCUGCUUCCAAACAAAAGGCAUGGGACCAUUUCUCCAAAGCUCAGCGCAAGAAUCUGGACAUGUGGCGCAAACAAGCAGAGGAGAUUAGAAACAUGCACAACGAGCAGCUGAUGGGCAUCAGACGAGAGGAGGAGAUGGAGAUGUCUGAUGAUGAUAUGGAGGAUGCCCCUGACAGCAAGGACUCUGAGGACUCAGGAGUUUCCCAAGCAGAGGCAUUAAAGGAGGAGAACGACUCCCUACGCUGCCAGCUGGACGCCUACAGGAACGAGGUGGAGCUGCUAAAACAAGAACAAGGCAAAAAUCAGCCAAUUAGGAGCGAGGAGGACAACACUCACUCACAGCAGCUCAGCUUCCUGCAGCAGGCUCUACAAGGCAUGCAGAAGCAACUGUUAAAAAUGAGGGAAGAAUUAAAACAGCGGGAGGCCGAGCUGGAGAAGAGUUUGGAGGAAAAACAACAGCUGAAGAAUCAAGUGCAGAACCUGAAGGAAGGUCUCCAGAACCUGCAAAACGCACACGUAAUGCAGCUGGAGAUGUCGAAGCAAGACGACAGAGGAAGCGAGGAGAGCGCUAAUCAAAGCAGCGAAGCCACAGCGUCGACGGUGGUGUCCUGCAGUCAGGAGAAAGAAGGUCCCACAGAGAGGAAUCCACCAAGUCCUGUCCACUCCGAGAGGGAAGCUCUGCUAGUUGGUACGCUGACACUCUGGCUUUUUCCCAGCACUCUCACUGAGACAUUUCUUAACCCAUGAACUGCUCAGUGGCAGGCCCGGGCCCUUCUGUGUGGAGUUUGCAUCCUCUCCUCACGCUUCCUCCGGGAGCUCUGGUUUCUCACCAAAACAUGCUAAGUAAAUUGUCUUUUCACUGUGCCCUUUACCAGGACACAAGCUUACAGCUACAUUUGAUCGCUGGCUCCUGGUUACAUUCAAAUGCCCCUUUCUCCAGAAAUGUGUGUUUCUUAUAUGCAGAGUUUAUUAUUAUAACACACACCUUACUCGAGCUGCCCUCAGCAUUCAUGGCCCUGCAGCUGCACACAAAGUGUCAGAGUGCCUUGAAGGCAGAAAGUAGGAAGAUUUGGAUAAAGAUUCAGAAACACCAAACAUGGGAAGUCUGGAUGCUGCACCAACCGCUGCAUUUAUGGCUUAUGGGGGGGAAAAAAGGAUGACGACUUCCUUGCAACAAGUAAAAAUCAAGGGUUGCGUUGUUUUUCAUUUUUGCAAAUAGUUGCCGUGACCAGCUGCUUUCGACUGCUUAAGAUUGAAAUGCGAUAGCACAGGUUGCCUGGUGGGAGGCAACAUGUCUCCAAACAGUUGCACUCUUCCUUAGACUGACUGCAGUCGCACUCAGACAGAUUGGCUGAGGCUGGCAAAUAAUGAUCAACUAUGAGAUUUAACUCUGGUUGCAUUCUGGUUAUAAUCUUAUUGAAAGACCAGGUUCCACAGUGGCUGUCACUGUGCAGGUAAAUCACCACCCUGCAGAUACUUUUUAACUCUUUGUGAAGGAAUCUCUGAAUUCCAUUUUUUAAUCUAUGAGUUUGGCAACAAUAUUGCAAGUUUGUGUCUCGGUCUCCAACCACUGUUUUCAUUAGUGUGACUGUAGCUUCAAAGCUUCCUUUCUAUAGAGCGAUCACCUGUUUUUGGAUUUGCCUCAUGGAACAUUUUACAGAAACUUUUAAUCAAGUUCAAGUGUUGUUUAUAUUUAUUGGCUUGUUUCUUCAGGUGCUUGAUAGUUGUGUCAGCUUUCAGACGUAAUAGUUAUACAAUUCUUAGAAAGAAAUGUGGUGUAAAAUAAGAGGAAUGGCAGCAGUGUCUGUUCCUUUCUGGAAGUGAAAAUCACCAUUUGUCAUCUUUUAUGGUCUCAUCAAUGUAAUGAUCAUGAGCUCUGACUCUAGCACAUUCUGGUAAUCUACACACAGACGCAGAGAGUGGGUGCAUAUUGCUCCAGCAAACGUCUGCUGUCAGUUGGAGAAGGUGUUUAUUGGCUGAUUUUUAAGGUGAAUAAGCAUGGACAGCAAAACGAUUGUAGUGGGCGAAUUGUUGCAAAUAAAUCAUCGUGAAUUUUAACUCGGUGUGCUAUCUAAAUGCACCAUUAGAUUCUCAGUCGGUCUCUUAAUCAUUGUCAGUGGAGCAGCUCCAGACGAGCACGCUGUUUGUGUUCAAGUAUCGAUUGACCUCCUGCAGGUGACAAAAAUGAAGUCUUGGCAUACUGUUUUCCUCUAAAAAGACUCUAAUGCUUAUCAUAUUUUUGCUUCGGUGUUUGACCCAGCAGAAAUCAUGGUUGCUUUCACUUUGUUUUGUUAUUGUUGUUUGUUUUUUACUUGUUUUUGCUUCUUUUUUUCAAAUCAGGGUACCUCAAUGCUGCAUAGGUGAUUUGUAAACAGAGGUGGAGGAUUACCUUUCUCCUGGCCCUGUCUGUGAGCUGAUAGCAGAUGGGAUCAUUUCAACGUUCCUGCACGUCCACCCGUUUGGAGCCAGCAUCGAGUACAUCUGUUCAUACCUGCAGCGUUUGGACACCAAG